rnacentral:rRNA from 1 species
GAUGAACGCUGGCGGCGUGCCUAAUACAUGCAAGUCGAGCGAAGCGGGGACGGGUGAGUAACACGUGGAUAACCUCCUAUAAGACUGGGAUAACUUCGGGAAACCGGAGCUAAACCGGAUACUUAUCGAUGGAUCCUCGCUGCAUUGGCUGGUUGGUAAGGUAACGGCUUACCAAGGCAACGAUGCAUAGCCGACCUGAGAGGGUGACCGGCCACACUGGAACUGAGACACGGUCCAGACUCCUACGGGAGGCAGCAGUGGGGAAUAUUGCGCAAUGGGCGAAAGCCUGACGGAGCAACGCCGCGUGAGUGAUGAAGGUCUUCGGAUCGUAAAACUCUGUUAUCAGGGAAGCGGUACCUAAACAGAAAGCAACGGCUAACCACGUGCCAGCAGCCGCGGUAAUAC